CUCUCUGGUUAUCAAUAUCUUGAGAGUAGGGGGACAUAGUAAGGUGCUGUUCUGUCAAUCAUUCCAUCAACUGUAUUAUCAUUCCAGUUCUACCGAUUAGUACCCGCUGCCAACCGAAUAUCAUCUGAGUAUCUCAUUGCUGGGCCGAGUGUGCUGGUUUUUGUUCACUCUAUUUUAAG